UUCAUUUGCUGCAGAAGCUGAAAUUGUGCAAUGUCAUUUUCCUUAAUUUCAACAAACUGAAUACAUUUGCUUGGGGCCUGCAUGAGGACUUUGGAAAGCGAUUCAUACGUGGGGACUGAGAAGAAUUCCGCCUGCCCCCCACUCCUCUAGCUCUCGCCAGCCUUGGGGCAGACCUGGGCACAGAGAAUCUCAUGGUGUGAACAUGUCAGCCAUUAUUUAUCAGUUCUCUGAUUGAUGAGCAUAUGAAUGAAUCGUUCCUGGUUUAGCUUGCUGUGGAGAGCGCUGAUCGGAACAUCCUUGUUGAAUGGAGGUGUCUCUCCUAUGGAAUGCAGGGGUUUGUUCCCUCUCCCGAGGACCAUUGGUGAGGACAGAGUGAGUGUGGAGUCCAUGAUCAACCUAAACCACAGCGCAGAUUAGAGAUAUAAAAAGCUUCACACAUGCUGUGCCUUCAACAUCGCUCCU